ensembl:lncRNA
UGGAGGACAGGAGUGCUGUCAGAAGGCAUAGUUAGUGCGCCAGCAGAGGUUAGAGGUAGUGUGCCAUCAGAGGAUUGAGGUGGAGGGUCUGCGGAGUAUCGGACCACCUGAGGACAACAGGGAGCACCUGCGGAGGAUGGGAGCGCUGUCAGAAGGCAUAGUUAGUGCGCCGGCAGAGGUUAGAGGUAGUGUGCCUUCAGAGGACAUAGGUAGAGCACCUGUGGAGGAUGGGGGUACCUGCAGAGAACACAGAACACCUGGAGAUGAUGGGAGCACUGUCGGAAUGCGUAGUUAGUGCACCAGCAGAGGUUAGAUGUAGUGCAUCAUCAGAGGAUAUAGGUGGAGCAUAGGCAGACGACGGGAAAACCUACAGAGAUCAAGGAGUGCCUGCAGAUGACAGGAGUGUUGUCAGAAGACAGAGGUAGCGCGCCGGCAGAGGUUAGAGGUAGUGCGCUGUCGGAGAAUCGAGGUGGAGCGUCUGGGGAGGACGGGAGCAUUUGCGGACAAGAGGGAGCACGUGCGGAGGAUGGGAGUGCUGUCAGAAGGUAUAGUUAGUGAGCUGGCAGAGGUUAGAUGUAGUGCGCUGUCGGAGGAUCUAGGUGGAGCGUCUGGGGAGGACAGGAGCACCUGCGGGGAACAGAGACUGCUUGCAGAUGAUGGGAGCGUGGUUAGAAGAUAGAGGUAGUGCGCCAGCAGAGGUUAGAGACAGAGUGACAUCAGAGGAUCGAGGUGGAGAGUCUGCGGUGGAUGGGAGCACCUGCUACCAACAGGGAGCACCCGUGGAGGACAGGAGUGCUGUCAGAAGGCAUAGUUAGUGCGCCGGCAGAGGUUAGAUGUAGUGUGACUUCAGAGGAUGUAGAUGGAGCAUCUGUGGAGGAUGGGAGCACCUGCAGAGAACACAGAGCGCUGGCAGAUGAUGGGAGCGUUGUCAGAAGAUAGAGGUAGUGCGCCAGCAGAGGUUAGAGGUAGUGUGCCAUCAGAGGAUAGAGGUAGAGCACCUGUGGAGGAUGGGGGUACCUGCAGAGGACACAGAACACCUGCAGAUGAUGGGAGCACUGUCGGAAUGCAUAGUUAGUGCACCAGCAGAGGUUAGAGGUACUGCGCUGUCAGAGGAUAGAGCUAGAACUUAUGCAGAGGAUAGGAGCACCUGCAGAGAAGAGGAAGCGAUUGCCAAGGAUGGGAGCACCAUCAGAAGACAGAGUUAGUGCGCCGGCAGAGGUUAGAUGUAGUGCAUCAUCAGAGGAUUGAGGUGGAGCAUCGGCAGAGGACGGGAACACCUACAGAGAUCAAGGAGUGCCUGCAGAUGACGGGAGUGUUGUCAGAAGAUAGAGGUAGUGCGCUGUCGGAGGAUCGAGGUGGAGCGUCUGGGGAGGACGGGAGCAUUUGUGGAGAACAGGGAGCAGCUGUGGAGGACAGGAGUGCUGUCAGAAGUCAGUUAGUGCGCCAGCAGAGGUUAGAUGUAGUGUGCCUUCAGAGGAUAGAGGUGGAGCAUCUGCGGAGGAUAGGAGCACCUGCGGAGAACAGGAAGCGAUUGCCAAGGACACGAGCACCAUCAGAAGACAGAGUUAGUGCGCCGGCAGAGGUUAGAUGUAGUGUGCCUUCAGAGGAUCGAGUUGGAGCGUCUGCAGAGGACAAGAGCAUCCGCGGAGAACAGAGACCGCUUGCAGAUGAUGGGAGCGUGGUUAGAAGAUAGAGGUAGUGCGCCAGCAGAGGUUAGAGGUAGUGUGCCAUCAGAGGAUCAAGGUGGAGUGUCUGCGGAGGAUCGGAGUACCUCAUGAGAACAGGGAGCACCUGCGGAGGACAGGAGUGCUGUCAGCAGGCAUAGUUAGUGCGCCGGCAGAGGUUAGAUGUAGUGUGCCUUCAGAGGAUAGAUGUAAAGCACCUGUGGUUGAUGGGGUUACCUGCAGAGAACACAGAACAUCUGUAGAUGAUGGCAGCACUGUCAGAAUGCAUAGUUAGUGCCCCGGCAGAAGAUAGAGGUAGUGCACUCUCAGAGGAUAGAGCUGGAACUUCUGCGGAGGAUGGGAGCACCUGCGGAGAACAGGAAGCGAUUGCCAAGGACAGGAGCACCAUCAGAAGACAGAGUUAGUGCGCCGGCAGAGGUUACAUGUAGUGCAUCAUCAGAGGAUCGAGUUGGAGCGUUUGCGGAGGACGAGAGCAUCUGCGGAGAACAGAGACUGCUUGCAGAUGAUGGGAGCGUGGUUAGAAGAUAGAGGUAGUGCGCCGGCAGAGGUUAGAGGUAGUGUGCCAUCAGAGGAUCGAGGUGGAGGGUCUGCGGAGGAUCGUAGCACCUGCGGAGAACAGGGAGCACCUCUGGAGGACGGGAGCACUGUCAGAAGGCAUAGUUAGUGCGCCGGCAGAGGUUAGAUGUAGUGCAUCAUCAGAGGAUAAAGGUGGAGCAUCUGCAGAGGACAGGAGCACCUGUGGAGAACAAGGAGCGCCUGCAGAUGAUGGGUGCGCUGUCAGAAGAAAGAGGUAGCAUGCUGGCAGAGGUUAGAGGUAGUGCUCUGUCACUGGAUCGACGUUGAGGGUCUGCGGAGGAUGGGAGCACCUGUGGUGAACAGGGAGUGACUGUGGAGGACAGGAGCGCCGUCAGAAGACAGAAUUAGUGCGCCGGCAGAGGUUAUAUGUAGUGUGCCAUCACGGGAUAGAGGUGGAGCAUCUGCCGAGGACAGGAGCACCUGCGGAAAACAGGGAGCACCUGCAGAUGACGGGAGCACCAUCUGAAGAUAGAGGUCGUGCGCUGUCGGAGGUUAGCAGUAGCAUCCUGGCAGAGGAUAAGAGUUAGCGCGCUAUCGGAGGUUAGAGGUAGUGCGCUGUUCGUGGAUAGAGGUAGAAUGUCGGUGGAUGAAAGGAGCACCUGUGGAGAACAGGGAGUGAUUGCGGAGGAUGGGAUCGCCGUCAGAAAACAGAGUUUGUUUGCUGGCAGAGGUUAGAUGUAGUGCGCCAUCCGAUGAUAGAGGUGGAGUUUCUACGGAGUACGGGAGCACCUGCAGAGAACAAGGUGUGCCUGCAAAUGACAGGAGCGCAAUCAGAAGAUAGAGGUAGAAGAGGUGCACAGGCGGAGGUUACCGGUAGUGUGCUGUCGGAGCAUCAAGGUGGAGGUUCUGUUUCGCCAUCCGAUGAUAGAGGUGGAGUUUCUACGGAGGAUGGGAGCACCUGCGUAGAACAGGGAGCGCCUGCGGACGAUGGGAGCGCCGUAAGAAAAUAGAAGUAAUUCGCUGGCUGAGUUUUGCAAUAGCAUGCCUUCAGAAGAUUGAGGUGGAUUGCCUGCAGAGGACGGUGAGCGCCUGUAGAGGACAGGAGCACCUGCGGAGAACAGGGAUUGCCUGCACAGUAUGGGAACAUCAUCAGAGUGUAGAGGUAGUGCACCGGCAGAGGAUUGAGGAAGUGCGCCAGCAGAGGAAAGAGGUGCGGCACCUGUGGGGGAUGGGAGCACCGUCAGAAGAUAGAGGUAGCACGCCAGCGGAGGUUAGAGGUAGCGUGCCAUUGGAGGAUGGAUGUAGUGCACCGGCCGAGGUUGGAUGUAGUGUUCUGUCAGAUGAUAGAGGUGGAGUGCCUGUGGAGGACAGCGAGUGCCUGCAGAGGACGAGAGCACCUGAGGAAAACAGGAAGCACCUGCGGAGGACUGGAGCGCCGUUAGAAGAUAGAGGUAUCUCGCUGGCUGAGUUUAGCGGUAACACACCAGCAACGGAUAGACGUAGUGUGCCGCCAGUGGAUAGAGGUAGAGCGCCAGCAGAAGAUAGGAGGUAGGACACUGGUGGAGGUUACAGAUAGUGCGCCGUCGGAGGAUAGAUGUGGAGCAUUUGCGGAGGACGGGAGUAGUUGAGGAGAACAGGGAGUGCCGGCGGAUGACAGGAGCACUGUCAGAAGAUAGAGGUAGCGCGCCAUUGGAUGAUAGUGAUGGAGCAUCUGUGGAGGAUGGGAGCACCUGCGGAGAACAGGGAACGUCUGCAGAGAAUGGGAGCACCGUCAGACGAUAGAGGUAGCGCGUCAGUGGAGUUUAGAGAUAGCGCGCUUCCAGAAGAUAGAGGUGGAGCACCUGCUGAGGGCGGCAAGCACCUGUAGAGGACGGGAGCACCUGCGGAGAAUAGGGAGCGCCUGCCGAGGACAGAGCACCGUCAGAAGAUAGAGGUAGCGCGCCAGCAGAGGAUAAGAGGUAGCACCCUGGCGGAGGUUACAGGUUGUGUGCCAUUGGAGGAUAGAUGUGGAGCACCAGCAGAGGACAGCGAGCGCCUGCAGAGGACGGGAGCAUCUGCAGAGAACAGGGAGCGCCUGCGGCGGACGGGAGCGCCAUCGGAGUAUAGAUGCAGCGCGCCGGCGGAGAUUAGAGGAAGCACACCUGCGGAGGUUACUAGCGCGCUGUCAGAGGAUAGAAGUGGAGUGCCAUUGGAGGACAGCGAGCACCUGCGGAGGACAGGAGCGCCAGCAGAAGAUAGAGGAAGUGCCACAUGCGCUUUCCCUCAUCCUAAUUUCUUUCUAUUAUUUUUUUC